GUGCUCAUUUCAGCAGCACAUGCACUAAAAAACUGGAACAAUACAGAGAAGAUUAAUAUGGCCCCUGCACAGGGAUCACA
rnacentral:snRNA from 1 species